rnacentral:rRNA from 1 species
UACGUAGGGUGCAAGCGUUAAUCGGAAUUACUGGGCGUAAAGCGUGCGCAGGCGGUUUUGUAAGUCUGACGUGAAAUCCCCCGGGCUCAACCUGGGAAUUGCGUUGGAGACUGCAAGGCUAGAAUCUGGCAGAGGGGGGGUAGAAUUCCACGUGUAGCAGUGAAAUGCGUAGAUAUGUGGAGGAACACCGAUGGCGAAGGCAGCCCCCUGGGUCAAGAUUGACGCUCAUGCACGAAAGCGUGGGGAGCAAACAGG